AUUCACCACGAAGACUGAUCCCAACCAACAGGCACGUAGGAAAGCAUUAAUAAAACGCCUCGUUCCACAACUACGUCCAUUCAGACUGAGACGGCUCUUCUUCUGCACAGCAGGAGAAGCAGUGGGAGCAGAGCAGAAAGAGGGCGGGGGGGGGGGACGAGAGAUGAGAGACAACCACUGGACACGAGGGACGCAUGUGUCUUUUUCUGCACAGCGUGGUGAAAGACAGGAAGCGAAGAACUAACCAAUGAGAAGCCGACUAACCAGAUGGCACCAGGCACAUUCUUCGAGGGAAGUUGAGACACUUUGUUCCCACCUGCUUUUCCGCUGGUGCCCCACUUACUUCCGCUGACACACACACACACACACACACACACACACACACAGACACACACACACACAGUGCGGCCUCCAGAUCUUGCGACCCCCCCCCCGACAGCUACAAAUGUUCUCAUCACUUUGCAUUCGAGGGGUUGCUUCGAGAGUUCACUCAUUGUGAGGUGAAACAAACCGUGUCACCGCGAGUCACCGGGCGACAACAGCAGCCGCUUCACCGUUUGACACCCGCUGCUCAAAGCACCGCUUCGCUGGAAACGAUCACGGGAAGUGACGCGCGAGCGUCAGCCGGGUGAGCUGACCAAGAGAAGAGCGGGUGUGAAUGUGGCUGAGGGGAGACGGAUGGAACAGAACCACCGCACGAAGCGGCGAGGACCAAUCAGCAGCAAUCAGCAAUGAGCUUCACGCGCUCGCAGGUGGAGGCCCGUGUGUGGCUUUGCCAAUCCUCUGAUGCCGGACUUGAUGAUCCAAUCAAAUUCUAUUAAGCGUUCGCAAAUAUGCAAAAUAGUGUGUACGCGUGUGCGUCUCUCUCUCUGUGGUUUGUUUCUUGAGGCGCAAAACACGUGUCCAUGUGCAGGAUGUCGUGAGACGCCGUCGCAAAGUAAAGAUUGUGCUUUCGGCCCUUUGAGCUGAGGGCCAGUUCCACUUCCUGUUCCCCUCCUUCCUCUUCUAUUCUUCCGCCAGGGCCGCCUCUCUUCCUCCUGCCAUCCCUCUUCUCAAGGCUGAGUCAACAGAGCGGCUGACCGGGAGGGGGGCCGGGG
ensembl:lncRNA